rnacentral:rRNA from 1 species
AUGGCCAACGGAGAUGGUGGCCUAUGGCUCCACAUUAUUCAGCAGAAAUACCUCCGUGGCCAGCCUCUCGCCUUUUGCCAGCGAUCUGGGGGCUCUCAGUUCUGGCAAUCCAUCAUUCAGCUCCUCCCUGUCCUCCGGAUCGGGACUUCGAUAAAGAUUGGGUCCGGCUCCGCCAUGUUGUUCUGGUUUGAUAGAUGGGCUGGAGACACGCCCCUUGAAGCCCGCUUCCCAGACUUGUUCUUCAUUGCGGUUGCCCCUCGGAUUUCGUUGGCGGCCGCCCUUGCUGACUUAGGGCAACUUGUGUUCCGGAGACCAUUUGGCCCGGAUGAGAACGCGGACUAGCAGGAGCUACUCGACUGUAUUGCACUCCACGAGCCUGAUCUCACGACAGACGACGACCAUGCAAAUUGGCGGCUUGAGCCUUCUGGUCGAUUCUCCACCAAAUCUCUAUACCUGGCCAUCGCCCCUUCCCCUGGCCAUGAGGCGAUCUCCUCCAUUUGGGAGAUUCGCCUCCCCCUCAAAAUUAGGAUCUUCUUGUGGCAAUGGAUUCGCUUCUGCCUCCCCUCUGGCGUGGAGGUUCUGAAAUGCAAUGGUCCUGGAGAUGGGCUUUGCCCGCUCUAUGGGACCGAAGAAGACUCGAACCAUAUCUUCUUCACCUGUGUGUCCGCGCAGUUCCUAUGGAGCUGUUUCCACGAGAUUGUGGGUGGAAGCUGGGACCGCAACAACUUCCCCGCUCUCUUUGCCGAACUCCAGGCGAUCCCACCCGUGUUACGCCACAUUAGGUGGCUGACCAUUGGGGUCCUUGCCUGGACGUUGUGGACUGUUAGGAAUAAAGUUGUGAUUCAGCAUAUUCCUCUUUGUCGUGCUACUGACGCUUUGUUCGAAUGGUCUGGUUACUUGCAGCUUUGGCGACCGCUUAGCUGUCCUAGGGAGAGAGACGCCAUCACCUUCAUCAUCACUCAGCUUCGCGCGAUGGCUCUCUGGUUGGCUCCACCGCUUCCCCAGCCACCUCCGGAACCAGAUUAG